rnacentral:rRNA from 1 species
UACAGAGGUCUCAAGCGUUGUUCGGAUUCAUUGGGCGUAAAGGGUGUGUAGGUGGCGCGCUAAGUCGGGUGUGAAAUUUCGGAGCUUAACUCCGAAACUGCAUUCGAUACUGGCGUGCUUGAGGACUGGAGAGGAGACUGGAAUUCCUGGUGUAGCAGUGAAAUGCGUAGAUAUCAGGAGGAAUACCGAUGGCGAAGGCAGGUCUCUGGGCUGACACUGACGCUCAUGCACGAAAGCGUGGGGAGCAAACAGG